GGCUGACUAAGUCAAGUAUGCUGAGGAGACACACUCUUUCAUCCCCCCACCUUUUAUUAUUAUUUCUUACUGAUAUACCAUUAACAUAUUCUGCAGAGCUGUAUAGUACAGGAAAUACAGAGAAAUAAUAAACAUGUACAAAAGGAACAAAAGACACUGCCCGUGAAUUUUAUAUAAAGUGCACAGCAAGGUACUAUAGUGACCGAAGCAACAUUAGAUUAAUAAAACCAGUUUUUGAGUAUAGAGCAUACCUCCUCUGAAAUUUGACUGCUCAAUUCACUCAGUUUAGGAGUUAAAACACUUUUGUUUCUGUUUAUGCAGCCCUAUUUACACCUCCCCUGGCUGUGAC